GUUCAGACAGCCCAGUCUCAGGAUGGCUUGGGAAGGACUGGCGGCGAAGCCUUGAGUUUCAGCUCUGGCCAAAGCCCGCUUCUGCCUGCUCCCCUCCCCAGCCAGAGCCCUGUCUAGACAGUCAGCCCCAUAGAUUAUUUCUGUAUCAGCCCAGUUCCUCCCUUCACCUGCACUGCAGUGAUGGGGACUCACUGGAAAGGACUAGGGGCCCUUCCAAAAAGAUUCUUGUGUUCUCUGCCCUCAGGAUGUUUCAGCAGGGGGAGGGGAGGAAAGAGGCAUUCUCUGUGUUAUGAAAAAUGGGUACAGAAGAGGAAUGCCCAUGGGGGUCAUACCUACCACCACCCAGCUCCUCUGUGGGUGAAGGCAGCUUUGAAAACAAUUAAGGCAGCACCAGAGCCUCCUCUACACAUUAGGAAUGCUGCUGGUAAAGGCGCUUUCUCCAGCUCUGUCCUACAUGGCUUUGGAGACAAGAGCCUCUGGAGGAGGGAUGUCUGUGCAACACACUGGACCCCUGGCGCUCUGUAGGUGUGCUGUUUCCCCAGCACAGAGAAGGUGCUUGGAACUUCAAAACCCAAAUGCAGAAAUGAGUGAGUGAGCAAGCAAGUGCCCACACACAGAGUAGGAGAGACUCCAUCGGCCACAGCAAGUGGACCAGCAUUCCACCUCGAUCAGCAGUCUGUACAGAUCCCCUCCUGCCCCUGCAAGGGCUCACCUCCGAGCAACCCCAGGCCGCUCCUCCAAGCCACUUUCCUCCCACCCUCUUCCCCCUACUUCAUUCAGCCCAAGUUCAAGUGCAAACCACCAGGACAACCCAAAGAACGUUCAUGGAUAAAUCACCUGAUUACUAACCAGGUCCACCCACCACACCGUUAACCACUAUUUUCCCUAAGAAAAGUAAAUAGCACCUCCUCCCCACCACCUGACCGUGAAGCCAUUAAACCCAGGAAGGGCGUGUCGCCACAGCUGCCCAGAAACAACUUGAAAGUGGAAAAAUAUGGUGGAUUUGGUGAUUCAGUGGUCGUGAAGAUAGCCAAAAUGUUUGGUUUCAGCCCGAACGGAACCUAUCCUCGUCCCUACUUGGUCUCAUCUAGGAUCAGAGCAGGCAGAGCCUCAGAAGAUACCUGGACAGGUUGGAAGCUCUGUGCCCCCUGCCUCCCCACGCCUCAAGUUUACCCAGCAUUUGAGCCCCGUACUCCUGGGACUGGCCCUGGAAGUGGCCAAAGGUUCUGACCCAGGCAGGAGAACUUGAACAGCGCCCCCUAGAGGAAGUCAAAGCUGGGCUUGAGAAACCAGGGAGCAAGGCCCCCAGCCCUUGGGCGACACAUUUGGCUCCAGCUUCUGGCAGCUCAGGCAGAAAGAGAAACACAUCGGGCUUGCAUAGUUUUCAUUUUCCAACAACAGAAAGCAUGUUCAAACCUCGGCAGAGACAACAUUUUUACUGGAACCAGGCUGCAGAAGGAAUGUCUUGGGGCACUGUGGUUUAAAGGACAGUGGGUGACAGGGCCGUGGGCUCUGCAACUGCAGCUGCAUUGGCUUCGUGUUGGCUCUUCUACUCUUAGAACAGACACCUGCUGAGGUGAAAAAGAAGAAGCCAGCUUCACCUCCUGUCUUCGAGCCAAAAGGAGAGAGAAUCCACACCUGAGCAUCCCACAUGCUACUUUCUUGCCCAAGGAAGGGGGAAAGUCCUAUUUUCCUGCCAAGAAGAAGGCCUCGCUCUCUUUUGGUAGAGAAAUAACGACAUCCAGUGGACAUCCAGGUCAUCCUCAGGCUCCGGUGAUGGCUUCCCCAGCCGGAAGGCCUUCCAGGGCUGGGGUGACAGGAGCAGUGAGUUAAGCACUAGAAAGCUGAGCUCAGAUCCUGAUACUACCUCUCAAGCUGUGUGACCUUGGCUCUGUGACAGGGGACAAGCGCCUCUACCUCUCUGAGCCUCAGUAUUCUCAUGCAUGAAUUAGGGCUGCGGGUCUCAGUUCUAAAAGUACCUCGAGCUGUGGUUUUCACCCCUGAGCACACCUGUGAGGUACGCACCAUCCACGCCGCCCCCCACCGCCUGGAUUCCAGCCACCCGCCCUCCUGUCCUGGCUCUUACGGCAGCCCCUGCAGCAAGCCAGCACAUCUGCCUGAGAACACCACGGAACCCUGCUCCGGAGCCGGGGUCCUGCCAGCAAAGAGUUUAAACAAACAGAACUGCGCAGAAACGAAAUGGUCCGUUGGUUGUAAAGGGCUGCGCCUCACGCUUGCGCUCUCAGGUUUCAUGAUAAUCCAAGUGAUGGUUCUCCUGAGGAGGAUUAGGAAGAAAAUGGUUGGGGGCUCGGAGGGGAGCAGAGAAAAACAGUUGUGGACCCAAGGCAAGCCCUGCCAAGAAAGUGGCCUCAGAGGGUCACUAAAUCAAAGAUGGGGGGCGGUGGCUGAGGCGGAGGAGGAAAGGAAAAGUGGGGCUCUUUCCAACUCUUCUAGUACCUAAGUCAGACCUUCACCAGUGAGAGAGCUUUCCACUACAUUCGAGAAGGACUACCAGCCCCCCACAGCCCAAACCCCACUGGGGUCAGAAGCUGGGAGGGGCACUUCCAUAGAGAGUGGGGCAGCGAGCUCAAAGGCAUUCCAAGGCCACGCAGGUAAAGCAUGAAGAGCGUAAAGAGAACAGCAGACGCAGGAUGGCCCUCACAAAGGAUGCUCAGCCUUGGUCUGGGGAAGACAACAGCGAGAGAUGGGGACUGGGGCGCUGGUCCCAGCUGGGACUGAGCUGUCAGCUCUGGCCAGUUUCUAUCAGGCGGGAGCACAGGCCCAGCGUUGCCAGUCUUCUAAUUUUUUUGCAAGAGAAAUAG
ensembl:lncRNA